rnacentral:rRNA from 1 species
AAUCAACGCUGGCGGCGUGCCUCAGACAUGCAAGUCGAACGCGAAAGUUUCCUUCGGGAGAUGAGUAGAGUGGCGCACAGGUGAGUAACACGUGAGUAAUUUACCUUCGGGUGGGGAAUACUAACCGGAAACGGUUGUUAAUACCGCAUAAUGCAGCGGCAUCAAUGAUGACAGUUGUUAAAGCGGGGGAUUGGAGCAAUCCGACCUCGCGCCUGAAGAGAAGCUCGCGGCAGAUUAGCUAGUUGGUAAGGUAAUGGCUUACCAAGGCGACGAUCUGUAACCGGCCUGA